rnacentral:tRNA from 3 species
GCCGAAGUGGUGGAACUGGUAGACACGCCAUCUUGAGGGGGUGGUGGGCAAUUGCUCGUGCGAGUUCGAGUCUCGCCUUCGGCACCA